AUGCUCCGGCUCCGGUGCCCCAUCCUCGCCCAGCUGCUCUCUUCUCCCUCCGCCUCCACCAUCUCCCCUCUCCACCGCCUCUUCUCCGCCACCACUCCCCGCAUCUCCCCGAACCGUAGCUUCGCCGUCGAGGAAUACCUCGUCUCCACCUGCGGCCUCACCCGAGCCCAAGCCCUCAAGGCCUCCACCGAGCUCGCCCACCUCAAGUCCCCCUCCAAUCCCGACGCCGUCCUCGCCUUCCUCGUCGGGCUCGGCUUCUCCAGGGCCGACGUCGCCGCCGCGGCCAACUCCUACCUUCUCUCGUCCAACCUCGAGAGGGUGGUCAAGCCUAAUGUCGCGGUCCUGCGGGAGUGCGGGAUAUGUGCUGGCGACAUUGUCUGGGUGCUCAUCCGUGUGAAGAGGAUUCUGACCACCUGUCCGGAGCGCGUCCGGGCAAUGGCGGCGUGUGCCGAACGUAUAGGUGUGCCCCGGGACUCUGGGAUGUUCAGGCAAGCACUGCGGUCUGUCGUAAACCUCGGUGAGGAGGAGAUCACCGCCAAAGUUGAGUACUUGAAGAACACCUUCAGCUGGACGGAUGCCGAGGUGGGCAUUGCUGUGUCGACGGCUCCAAUGCUGCUGCAGUCGUCUAAGGACUUUCUGCGGAGUAGGUCUGAGUUCCUCAUCUCUGAGGUGGGUUUAGAACCGGCGUACAUUCCUCAUCGGUCGACAAUGCUCACUUACAGCCUGGAGGGCCGGCUCAGACCCCGCUACCAUAUUCUAAAGUUUCUUAAGGAAAAUGGACUGCUCGAGCACAAGCGGAGCUACUAUUCAGUAGUCUUGAUGACUGAGAAGGUUUUCAUGGAAAAGUUCUUAUGCCCUCAUAACGAAGCUGCCCCACACCUUGCUGAAGACUAUGCUGCUGCUUGCAAAGGGGAAAUGCCGACUAAUUUGAUAUCUACAUCAACCAAGAAGGGGCUAUGA
rnacentral:rRNA from 1 species